GGACUGCGGAAGACAUUACCGAACUGUCAACACGAGUUGUUGCUGGUCCUCAAAACGGGGGCAUGCUGCACGCUCUGUUUACACAUCCACUCACACCUGUGCACCCUCUGUAGUUCCGUGGCAUGGGGGACUCUGUCCUCCUGCUGUGGUCCUACGUCUUUACACAUACUCUGUAAUAAAGUCUCAUGGAAUGCAUGACGCGUUUAACGCAAUACAAUACAACUUUCAGCAACGGAUCUCUUGGCUCUCGCAUCGAUGAAGAACGCAGCGAAAUGCGAUAAGUAAUGUGAAUUGCAGAAUUCAGUGAAUCAUCGAAUCUUUGAACGCACCUUGCGCCCUUUGGCUAUUCCGAAGGGCAUGCCUGUUUGAGUAUCAUGAACACCUCAACUCUCAUGGUUUGCCAUGAUGAGCUUGGACUUUGGAGGUCUUGCUGGCCUGUGGUCGGCUCCUCUCAAAUGGAUCAGCUUGCCAGUGUUUGGUGGCAUCAUGGGUGUGAUAACUAUCUACGCCUGUGGUUUUUUACCAGAUAACCUUCAGUGAUGGAGGUUCGCUGGAGCUCAUAAAUGUCUCUCCUCAGUGAAGACAGCUUUUUGAACGUUUGAUCUCAAAUCAGGUAGGACUACCCGCUGAACUUAAGCAUAUCAAUAAGC
rnacentral:rRNA from 1 species